GACGAACGCUGGCGGCGUGCUUAACACAUGCAAGUCGAACGGAAAGGCCCUGCUUUUGUGGGGUUCUCGAGUGGCGAACGCGUGAGUAACACGAGAGUAACCUGCCCUUGACUUUCGGAUAACUUCAGGAAACUGGGGCUAAUACCGGAUAGGAUCUCCUGCUGCAUGGUGGGGGUUGGAAAGUUUCGGCGGUUGGGGAUGGACUCGCGGCUUAUCAGCUUGUUGGUGGGGUAGUGGCUUACCAAGGCUGUGACGGGUAGCCGGCCUGAGAGGGUGACCGGCCACAUUGGGACUGAGAUACGGCCCAGACUCCUACGGGAGGCAGCAGUGGGGAAUAUUGCACAAUGGGCGGAAGCCUGAUGCAGCGACGCCGCGUGCGGGAUGACGGCCUUCGGGUUGUAAACCGCUUUCGGCUGUGACGAAGCGUGAGUGACGGUAAUGGGUAAAGAAGCACCGGCUAACUACGUG
rnacentral:rRNA from 1 species